AGUCGAACGAAGCCUUCGGGCUUAGUGGCGGACGGGUGAGUAACGCGUGAGAAUCUCCCUUCAGGAUGGGGACAACCGUUGGAAACGACGGCUAAUCCCCAAUGUGCCGAGAGGUGAAAGGGUUUCCGCCUGAAGAAGAGCUCGCGUCCGAUUAGUUAGUUGGUGAGGUAAGAGCUCACCAAGGCAGCGAUCGGUAGCUGGUCUGAGAGGAUGAGCAGCCACACUGGGACUGAGACACGGCCCAGACUCCUACGGGAGGCAGCAGUGGGGAAUUUUCCGCAAUGGGCGAAAGCCUGACGGAGCAACGCCGCGUGUGGGAAGAAGGCUCUUGGGCUGUCAACCACUUUUCUCAGGGAAGAAGUUCUGACGGUACCUGAGGAAUCAGCCUCGGCUAACUCCGUGCCAGCAGCCGCGGUAAUACGGAGGAGGCAAGCGUUAUCCGGAAUUAUUGGGCGUAAAGCGUCCGCAGGGGGCGCAUCAAGUCUGCUGUUAAAGGCUGGAGCUUAACUCCGGUAGAGCAGUGGAAACUGGUGCGCUAGAGGGCGACAGGGGUAGAGGGAAUUCCCAGUGUAGCGGUGAAAUGCGUAGAGAUUGGGAAGAACACCGGUGGCGAAAGCGCUCUACUGGGUCGCACCUGACCCUCAGGGACGAAAGCUAAGGUAGCGAAAGGGAUUAGAUACCCCUGUAGUCUUAGCCGUAAACGAUGGAUACUAGGGCGUGGCUUGUAUCGACCCAAGCCGUGCCGAAGCUAACGCGUUAAGUAUC
rnacentral:rRNA from 1 species